UCUCUUGUUUAUUUGAUAAUUAAAAUUGAUACUUAAGAACCGUCAACAAAUACCCCCAUACUUAGGCUUUUACUCGUCCUCGAGAAAAGGAUGGUUAAGAAAAAUAUCUGAGGUAAACAUUUAAAAACAUUCUUUAUAUAAUUGCAGGGUGUUAAAAAUUCACUGUGUACCAUAGUCAGGGAUGUAUAUGGUUAAGAGUAAAGAUCCUUUCUUCUCAAUCCUGCCACUUGGAGCUUUUGUAUAUUUUUGAAAGAAAGUUAGCAUACCUUUUUAUCCUCAUAGGUUCUCUUAGAUCACUCAUUAUCUUUUAUAUAUAUCUCACUGAGGCUGUUUUAUUUUGCAAAAAUUCUCAAGCAUACUUACUUUGCAUUUAUUGCCUGAUCAAAACGGGAUCCGAGGAGGGGAAUGUCAUACUCUUAGAUCAAAGACUUUGGAAAUUAAAAACUUUGUCAACUCUUGCUGGCAUAUUGCUUAUUAGAGGGACCAUGGGCUAU
rnacentral:lncRNA from 1 species